AGAGUUUGAUCCUGGCUCAGGAUGAACGCUGGCGGCGUGCUUAACACAUGCAAGUCGAACGAAGCGAGAGGAGCUUGCUCCUUGAGCUUAGUGGCGGACGGGUGAGUAACGUGUGGGCAACCUGCCUUUUACAGGGGAAUAAUCACUGGAAACGGUGACUAAUACCGCAUACGACCUUCGGAAGGCAUCUUCUGAAGAGGAAAGGAGCAAUCCGGUAAAAGAUGGGCCCGCAUCUGAUUAGCUAGUUGGUGAGAUAAUAGCCCACCAAGGCAACGAUCAGUAGCCGACCUGAGAGGGUGAUCGGCCACAUUGGGACUGAGACACGGCCCAAACUCCUACGGGAGGCAGCAGUGGGGAAUAUUGCACAAUGGGGGAAACCCUGAUGCAGCAACGCCGCGUGAAGGAAGAAGGUUUUCGGAUCGUAAACUUCUAUCAAUAGGGACGAACAAAUGACGGUACCUAAAUAAGAAGCCCCGGCUAACUACGUGCCAGCAGCCGCGGUAAUACGUAGGGGGCAAGCGUUAUCCGGAAUUACUGGGUGUAAAGGGAGCGUAGGCGGCAUGGUAAGUAAGAUGUGAAAGCCCGAGGCUUAACCUCGAGGAUUGCAUUUUAAACUAUCAAGCUAGAGUACAGGAGAGGAAAGCGGAAUUCCUAGUGUAGCGGUGAAAUGCGUAGAUAUUAGGAAGAACACCAGUGGCGAAGGCGGCUUUCUGGACUGAAACUGACGCUGAGGCUCGAAAGCGUGGGGAGCGAACAGGAUUAGAUACCCUGGUAGUCCACGCCGUAAACGAUGAGUGCUAGGUGUCGGGGAGGAAUCCUCGGUGCCGCAGUUAACACAAUAAGCACUCCACCUGGGGAGUACGAUCGCAAGGAUGAAACUCAAAGGAAUUGACGGGGACCCGCACAAGCGGUGGAGCAUGUGGUUUAAUUCGAAGCAACGCGAAGAACCUUACCAAGUCUUGACAUCCUUCUGACCGGUACUUAACCGUACCUUCUCUUCGGAGCAGGAGUGACAGGUGGUGCAUGGUUGUCAUCAGCUCGUGUCGUGAGAUGUUGGGUUAAGUCCCGCAACGAGCGCAACCCUUAUCUUUAGUAGCCAGCGGUCCGGCCGGGCACUCUAGAGAGACUGCCAGGGAUAACCUGGAGGAAGGCGGGGAUGACGUCAAAUCAUCAUGCCCCUUAUGACUUGGGCUACACACGUGCUACAAUGGCGUAAACAAAGGGAAGCAAAGCUGUGAAGCCGAGCAAAUCUCAAAAAUAACGUCUCAGUUCGGACUGUAGUCUGCAACCCGACUACACGAAGCUGGAAUCGCUAGUAAUCGCAGAUCAGAAUGCUGCGGUGAAUACGUUCCCGGGUCUUGUACACACCGCCCGUCACACCAUGGGAGUUGGGAAUGCCCGAAGCCAGUGACCUAACCGAAAGGAAGGAGCUGUCGAAGGCAGGCUCGAUAACUGGGGUGAAGUCGUAACAAGGUA
rnacentral:rRNA from 1 species